GGGAGAAAAGUCAAAAGUUCGGCUUUUUGAAAAAAGAAAAGAAAACAAACACAGUACCCAAACGUAAAAGCAACGCCAAUUAUCUGAGGAAUAUAAUAAUAUUUCUUGUUACAAGAACUAAGCUACAGUCCUUUCCUUUCCAAAAAAAAGAUCUAAGCUACGGUAGCAUCCGUCAUAACCACACUUCCACACCCGAGAUAAGUUUGACGUGGCAGGGGCGGAGGUGGCGUUCAGUGUAGCUACGUUAUAUGGCUAAUCACUCGAUCUGAACCGUUCUCUCCUCUUUCUUCUCUCUCUUCCAAUGGAUGUGAUCCGGCGAUGGUUCUGGUCCUACAAUGGUUCCAGUUCGGCAAUGGUGGUCUAAUAGUCAUGGGUCCGAUGUGGUCUGAUGGUCCAUUGUGGUUUGAUGGUCUCCCUUUGUUCUCUGUUCUUUGUUCUCUCUUCGUGGGUCUACGUGGAUUGAAGGAGUCGUGGGUCAGAGUGUGGGUUUUUGGUUUGGAGAGUGGAUCAAAGCAGUUGUGAGCAUGGAUCGAAGGGUGGAUCGAAGCAUGGGUCUGAUUGUUCGUGGGUCGGAGCGUGGGUCUGAUUGUUCGUGGGUUAUCCUCCGUCAGGUUCCACUCCUUUAAUCGAAGAUUUCUCUCUCUCUUCACUCCGAUAAUCGCUACCUCCUUGUUGGAUCCAAUGGCACUGAUCGACAUGACCUUUCCGGACUCUCAUGCGCGCCUGAAAUCAUCGCGCAAGGCACUAGUAGAAAUCAUGGGCCUUGGAGUCAGAAUCACUUAAUAGGUUGAAGUGGAAUAACCUUCAAAGCAAUAGUCAUCACUUUGCCAAAAGGUGGAUCAUGAGCGAAGACCAUGUUCAACUUAAAAACACUCAUGAAGGAAAGAAGAUAUGAUAAAGAUAUAUUCCCGUUUAGUAAUGUGUUGUUGAUCACUCGUUUUUGUUAAGGUAUAUCCCGUUGAUUAUGAAUAUCAUUUAUUGCUGUUACUGUGUUGUCUUUA